UUGGGGAUAUAGCUCAGUUGGUAGAGUGCUUGCCUUGCACACACAAGGCUCUGGGUUUAAUCCCCAACACCAAA
rnacentral:tRNA from 1 species